rnacentral:rRNA from 1 species
UACGUAGGGGGCUAGCGUUGUCCGGAUUUAUUGGGCGUAAAGAGCGUGUAGGCGGCCAAGUAAGUCCGGCGUGAAAACUCGAGGCUUAACCUCGAGAUGUCAUCGGAAACCAGUUGGCUAGAGUCCGGAAGAGGAAAGUGGAAUUCCUGGUGUAGCGGUGAAAUGCGCAGAUAUCAGGAAGAACACCAAUGGCGAAAGCAGCUUCCUGGGCCGGUACUGACGCUGAGACGCGAAAGCGUGGGGAGCGAACAGG